UAAUCCAAAUAUAAAGUCAAAGAUAACUCUUCUUUUUUAGAGUGACUGCAAAGACAUGCUGCUAGAAGAUACUGACAUGCAGGCAUGUAUGAUCCAGACUCUCUGGACACUCAACUUGAAACUAGACAAAUAUUAUAAUCGUACUGGCACCACCUACCGGUUGCACGAAGACAAGGAAGUGAUACUUAUGUCAGGUGUCACAAACAAGCUGAAGGAUUAUAUAAAACAGCUGAUUUUGAUUCCUCCAGAGUCACAAUAGCACUAGUAAACAGAUGCUAAUAUUUCAAUUUCCUUCCUUUUUUCUUAUUCACUUUUUUCUUCCUUUCUUUCCUUUCCUUACUGAUUUUAUUCUGAUGUAUAAAUUCAUAUGUGUGAGGAUUGAUUCAUCAACAUUAUCAUCAUUAUCAUUGCAGACCAAGUUGUAUAUUGUACAUUAUUCAGGUGUAGACUGUGUUUUUUUAAUCACUUGAUGACAAAGAUAUAAAGGAGAUUUUUUUCUUCUCAGAAUCAAUUGAUUUAAUUUAUUUUCUAAAAAUUGAAUUAGUUUGCUUUUAAUAUAUUUUGUACUCAGGCAAAGGCAGUUUCCAUAAGCAUGAAUCUGUAUUGUUGAUUUUCUUUUUGUCUAGAAAUAUUUCUCAUGUUCUUAUAUUCAGAAAGAAAUAGUAUAGAACAGAAUGGAUUUUUUUUUAUAUGAAUAUAUAGAUGAACUUGUCAGGACUUUGACUGAAUGAUCGAAUUUUUGUUAAGAGAAAUUUUGCAGAUUAUUCUUUACAACCAUGUUUAUAUUAUAUCAUAAUUUUUGACACAAAUUUUGUGAGUUUAUCCAUAUGAAUGUAUGGAUGUCUGAUGCAUUAUGUGCUAUUUGUUAUGAAUAGAUUGUACUUUUAUGGCACUAAAAGCAGAUGUGUCAAUCCUUUUAGAAUUUGGGCCUUAAGUGGUUUAGAUUUUGUUUCAGAUUUUUUUCCUUCUGUUCAUAUUCUUUCUUUCUCAUUCUCCAUCUUCAUCUUUUCAAAUGAAAAUGUAGAUUGAUGUUCUUAUGUCUCUUUUUUUUACCAUUCUGUUGUGAUAGUCUUUUAUACAACCUAAGAUCUCAAGAUGGCCUUGAGGUGUUGUAAUUGAGGUAGUUUUCAUAAAUAUUUUAAUUUCAGUGUAACUAUUGUGUUAUUAUUACUGAUCACUGUUGAUUAUAAUGAUAUUCAGAAAUUUCCGUUGCUUUGUGUAUGUAAGUCCAAUAAAGUUUUUAUUUCAGAGUCUGAAAAGCAAAUAAACACUUGAAUUUUC